AAAGCUCAAGAAAAUAGUGAUUGCAAACGCCUUCCUCAAGAAACGCCAAACUCAAGAGAUGAUGGAAGAUGCUGCUAUAAAAGAGGAAGAAGAGGAAGGUGGAAACCCCACCACCGAUGAUGAUGAUUUGUACAGUGCUGUGCUUUCCCAGAACCGCCAGAUGACGCGACUGGCAGCAGAAGACGCAAUGAAACGGGGCAAC
rnacentral:ribozyme from 1 species